rnacentral:rRNA from 1 species
CCUACGAGAGGCUGCAGUCGAGAAUCAUUCACAAUGGGGGAAACCCUGAUGGUGCGACGCCGCGUGGGGGAAUGAAGGUCUUCGGAUUGUAAACCCCUGUCAUGUGGGAGCAAAUUAAAAAGCUAGUACCCCAAGAGGAAGAGCCGGCUAACUCUGUGCCAGCGGCCCCGGUAAUACAGAGGUCUCAAGCUUUGUUCGGAAUCACUGGGCGUAAAGCGUGCAUGGGCUGUUUCGUAAGUCGUGUGUGAAAGGCGCGGGCUCAACCCGCGGACGGCCCAUGAUACUGCGGGACUAGAGUAAUGGAGGGGGAGCCGGAAUUCUCGGUGUAGCAGUGAAAUGCGUAGAUAUCGAGAGGAACACUCGUGGCGAAGGCGGGUUCCUGGACAUUAACUGACGCUGAGGCACGAAGGCCAGGGGAGCGAAAGGGAUUAGAUACCCCAGUAGUC